GUUUUGACGAUAGACAAAUGAAUAAAACACACGUAAAUAUAUAUUACACCUUUAUGAAUACAAUAAAUUUAAGUAAAUAAAUAAAGUCCCAUAAUCAAAAUCUUAAUGUCCGAUACAUCCAAUAAAAGUCCAACAAAAAUUUAAUUUAAUACAUCUUUUGUUCUAAAGAAAAUCGGGUACAUCAACGAGAACAGCUCCGAACUGGAAUUGGAUUUUUUUUCCUGCACCAAAUUAAACAAAUAAUAUAUAUAUAAAAAAGGGGAGAGAGGGCCGAUCAUGAGGAUGAUUUUUUUUUUCAAAACAUUAAAUGCCUCAUUUAAUGAGGGCAGACAAAUCAUAUCCCUUCUGACAAAAGAGAAUAAUUAGAGAUAAGAAUACCAUGCAACUUGCUACACCAACUUGUUACACGUCACUUUCAAUGCCACCUUUUUUGUAUUGUAUACAAUCAUUUUUCUUUCCCUCACACACACAUCACCCUCAAAUCCUAAGUAAUCCUAAGUUGUCUGCACACACCAAGCCAACAUGGAUAUAGGAGUUUGAGGAAGGAGAAUUUCACACAAUUCGUAGAGUGAAACACUACCAUCCAACAACACUUAACUGCCACAUCAAAAGGCUAUCUCCGUGAGUUAAGGGUGGAGUCAGGAAAAUUCAAGUUAAGGAGUUUUAAGCAGUCGAGGUGUGGAAGAGGCGUUUGGAGGAUCAUGCACGGAUACUUUUGGAAGUUGUGAAGAUGCAGUUUGUUGCGAGGAUGGAAGCUGCGGUGCAAACUGUUGCAAAUACAAAUGCAACAAAGCUCACCCAAAAGCCAAUCCCAGCCCAUUUUGUGCUUUGAUCGAUGUCGGAAAAGCGUGCUACUGCAAUUAUGAUUGUUGAAAGUUAAUAUCUUGAUUAUGUUUUUACUAAAUGUACUUUUGAGUGCUAAUUUUAUGUUUUACGGAUUUGUUAAAACUUUAUAGUAUUUCAUUCUACGGUUUUCAUACAUCAAGAAAUACACCGAGUAUGUACUAUUUUCAUUUA